GACGAACGCUGGCGGCGUGCCUAAUACAUUCAAGUCGAACGAGAGCGACCGGUGCUUGCACUGGUCAAUCUAGUGGCGAACGGGUGAGUAACACGUGGGUAACCUGCCCAUCAGAGGGGGAUAACAUCCGGAAACGGAUGCUAAAACCGCAUAGGUCUUCGAGCCGCAUGGCUUGAAGAGGAAAAGAGGCGCAAGCUUCUGCUGAUGGAUGGACCCGCGGUGCAUUAGCUAGUUGGUGAGGUAACGGCUCACCAAGGCCGUGAUGCAUAGCCGACCUGAGAGGGUGAUCGGCCACAUUGGGACUGAGACACGGCCCAAACUCCUACGGGAGGCAGCAGUAGGGAAUCUUCCGCAAUGGACGCAAGUCUGACGGAGCAACGCCGCGUGAGUGAAGAAGGUUUUCGGAUCGUAAAACUCUGUUGUUAGAGAAGAACAAGUGCUAGAGUAACUGUUAGCGCCUUGACGGUAUCUAACCAGAAAGCCACGGCUAACUACGUG
rnacentral:rRNA from 1 species